rnacentral:misc_RNA from 1 species
UUUCCGUAGGUGAACCUGCGGAAGGAUCAUUACAGAGUUCCUGCCCUCACGGGUAGAAACCCCACCCUUGUGUAUUAUAUAUUGUUGCUUUGGCGGGCCGCCCUCACCGGCGCCGGCUCGCGCUGGCUCGCGCCCGCCAAAGGACCCCAAACUCUGAAGUAUAGUGUCGUCUGAGUACUAUUUAAUAGUUAAAACUUUCAACAACGGAUCUCUUGGUUCUGGCAUCGAUGAAGAACGCAGC